CUCCCACAUAAAGUUUAUUGCAAAAGUUUCUAUGACAAAGUUGUGCGAGUUCAUGCUAAGGUUUUUGUUGUAUGACAUUGCCAAAUGACAUAAUCAGAUUUUAUCAACAGAAUAUGUCACGAAAGGUUAUUUGCGCUCAAUACACUAUAUGCCAGUAAUACUCAAUUGUGUUACGUAACAAUGUCCGUGCAUUUCUCCUCUGGAUAGUUUUAUGGAGAGACUGAAAAACAACCCACAAAAAUGAAUCUAAAGUAAUACUGAAUUAUAAUUUCUCAUCAAAUUUCUUGCAUGUUUAUUUACAUUAUCUUACUAAAAGCAGGGAAAUAUAUAUAUUACAACAAAUGUACAAUUGAGGUAAACUUAAAGCACGUACAAUGAACAAAAAAUGUAAACCGCUGAAGUAAAAGGUACCUGGUAAAAGUACCUGGUAACACUAACACUAAUAUAGUUAUGUGCUCAAUUCCAAAUUCUAGUGAAUUACAUUCAAAAUAUAAAAUUGAGGAUAAAAAGUCUGCAACUAUAUGUGAGAAGGAGAAUUGUUCCUGAGCAGCUAUUUUAGCCUCAAUAUUGCAAUUUUGGAUGUAAUUUGCUGAAAUUCUCAAUUUAGUGAAUUUACUCUACAAAUCAUUUUUGUAUUUUUAUUUUUAAUUAACAUAUUUAGCAUUUCAUUUAAAUAACUGCAACAUUUAUUUU